UACGAAGGGGGCUAGCGUUGCUCGGAAUCACUGGGCGUAAAGCGCACGUAGGCGGCUUGUUAAGUCAGGGGUGAAAUCCUGGAGCUCAACUCCAGAACUGCCUUUGAUACUGGCGAGCUUGAGUCCGGGAGAGGUGAGUGGAACUGCGAGUGUAGAGGUGAAAUUCGUAGAUAUUCGGCGGAACACCAGUGGCGAAGGCGACUCACUGGCCCGAUACUGACGCUGAGGCGCGAAAGCGUGGGGAGCAAACAGG
rnacentral:rRNA from 1 species